rnacentral:rRNA from 1 species
AGCGAACGCUGGCGGCAGGCUUAACACAUGCAAGUCGAGCGCCCCGCAAGGGGAGCGGCAGACGGGAGAGUAACACGUGGGAACAUACCUUUUGGUUCGGAACAACUGAGGGAAACUUCAGCUAAUACCGGAUAAGCCCUUACGGGGAAAGAUUUAUCGCCGAAAGAUUGGCCCGCGUCUGAUUAGCUAGUUGGUGAGGUAACGGCUCACCAAGGCGACGAUCAGUAGCUGGUCUGAGAGGAUGAUCAGCCUCACUGGGACUGAGACACGGCCCAGACUCCUAGGGGGGGAAGGGGGGGGGAUUGUUGGACAAGGGGGGCACCCGUGAUCCACCCGGGCCGGGGGAGUAAUGAAGGCGUUGGGGUUGAAAAGCUCUUUUGCCGGGGAAGAUAAGGCCGGACCGGGGAAAAAAAGCCCCGGCAAACUUCGGC